AAGAGUGAAGCAAUAAUUGCAAUCAGUUUCGACCUGAACUUAGGAAAACCCCUCUCUUA
rnacentral:tRNA from 1 species